GGGGAUUUAGCUCAGUGGCAUAAGCACUUGCCUGGUAAGCAUGAGGUCAUAAGUUCGAUCCCAGAACCCCCC
rnacentral:tRNA from 1 species